UACGUAGGGCGCAAGCGUUAUCCGGAAUUAUUGGGCGUAAAGAGCUCGUAGGCGGUUUGUCGCGUCUGCUGUGAAAGACCCCGGCUCAACUGGGGAGGGUCGUGCGAUACGGGCGAACUGGAGGCCAGUAGGGGGAUGCGGAAUUCCGGGUGUAGUGGUGGAAUGCGUAGAGAUCCGGAGGAACACCAGCGGCGAAGGCGGCAUCCUGGACUGGUCCUGACACUCAGGAGCGAAAGCGUGGGGAGCGAUCCGG
rnacentral:rRNA from 1 species